AUGAACGCUAGCGGGAGGCCUAACACAUGCAAGCCGAGCGGUAGAGAUCUUUCGGGAUCUUGAGAGCGGCGUACGGGUGCGGAACACGUGUGCAACCUGCCUUUAUCAGGGGGAUAGCCUUUCGAAAGGAAGAUUAAUACCCAAUAAUAUAAGAAACGGCAUCGUUUUUUAUUGAAAACUCCGGUGGAUAGAGAUGGGCACGCGCAAGAUUAGAUAGUUGGUGAGGUAACGGCUCACCAAGUCUACGAUCUUUAGGGGGCCUGAGAGGGUGAUCCCCCACACUGGUACUGAGACACGGACCAGACUCCUACGGGAGGCAGCAGUGAGGAAUAUUGGACAAUGGGUGGGAGCCUGAUCCAGCCAUCCCGCGUGAAGGACGACGGCCCUAUGGGUUGUAAACUUCUUUUGUAUAGGGAUAAACCUACCCUCGUGAGGGUAGCUGAAGGUACUAUACGAAUAAGCACCGGCUAACUCCGUGCCAGCCGCCGCGGUAACAC
rnacentral:rRNA from 1 species